rnacentral:lncRNA from 1 species
CAGAGAUAACAAAUUUUGAGCACGAUGAUGCAAGGUCUAUAAAUGUGAUGUUCUACGAAAGUUGCCAAUAUUGCUUCCAAGAUAUGGAAUCACAAAAGAUCAAAAGAGGCUUCAACUUUUUAAAUGUAUUAAUUUAAUAUAAAAGCAAGGUUGUGGUUGUUGGUGUUAAAAAUACCAAUACAAAAUAGAGAAAGAGAGAAUAGGGAAAACAAAA